AUAGUACUCCCUCCGUCUGAAAGUAUUCGUUAGAGGAACAGAUCUAUCUAGACAUAUUUUUGUUCUACAUGCAUUUAUUUUUAUCCAUUUCUUCGACAAGUAUUUUCGGACGGAGGGAGUAGUAU
rfam:Hordeum vulgare subsp. vulgare, WGS project CAJW01000000 data, contig: morex_contig_158515